UACGGGGGGGGUAAGCGUUGUUCGGAAUUACUGGGCGUAAAGGGCUCGUAGGCGGCCAACUAAGUCAUACGUGAAAUCCCUCAGCUUAACUGGGGAACUGCGUGUGAUACUGGAUGGCUUGGAUUUGGGAGAGGGAUGCGGAAUUCCAGGUGUAGCGGUGAAAAUGCGUAGAUAUCAGGAAGAACACCCGUGGCGAAGGCGGUUCUCUGGGACGGUACUGACGCUGAGACGCGAAAGCGUGGGGAGCGAACAGG
rnacentral:rRNA from 1 species